CCUGGUCGAUUAGUUAGUUGGCGGGGUAAAGGCCCACCAAGACUGUGAUCGAUAGCCGGCCUGAGAGGGCACACGGCCACACUGGCACUGAAACACGGGCCAGACUCCUACGGGAGGCAGCAGUGGGGAAUCUUGCACAAUGGGGGAAACCCUGAUGCAGCGACGCCGCGUGAGCGAUGAAGCCCCUCGGGGUGUAAAGCUCUUUCGGCAGGGAAGAUUAUGACGGUACCUGCAAAAGCAGCUGCGGCUAACUACGUGCCAGCAGCCGCGGUAAUACGUAGGCAGCAAGCGUUGUUCGGAGUUACUGGGCGUAAAGGGUGCGUAGGCGGCUUUUUAAGUUUGGUGUGAAAUCUCCCGGCUCAACUGGGAGGGUGCGCCGAAUACUGAGAGGCUAGAGUGUGGGAGAGGAAAGUGGAAUUCCUGGUGUAGCGGUGAAAUGCGUAGAUAUCAGGAGGAACACCGGUGGUGUAAACGGCUUUCUGGACCAUAACUGACGCUGAGGCACGAAAGCGUGGGUAGCAAACAGGAUUAGAUACCCUGGUAGUCCACGCCCUAAACGAUGCAUAUUUGGUGUGGGCCAUUCAUUUGGUCCGUGCCGGAGCUAACGCGUUAAAUAUGCCGCCUGGGGAGUACAGUCGCAAGGCUGAAACUCAAAGGAAUUGACGGGGGCCCGCACAAGCGGUGGAGCAUGUGGUUUAAUUCGACGCAACGCGAAGAACCUUACCUGGGCUCGAAAUGCUAUGGACCAGCUGGUGAAAGCCGGCCUUCCCGCAAGGGACUGUAGUAUAGGUGCUGCAUGGCUGUCGUCAGCUCGUGUCGUGAGAUGUUGGGUUAAGUCCCGCAACGAGCGCAACCCUUGUCCUGUGUUGCCAUCAUUCAGUUGGGAACUCGCAGGAGACCGCCAGGGAUAACCUGGAGGAAGGUGGGGAUGACGUCAAGUCCUCAUGGCCUUUAUGUCCAGGGCUACACACGUGCUACAAUGGACGGUACAAAGGGCUGCCAACCCGCAAGGGGGAGCCAAUCCCAAAAAAACCGUUCUCAGUUCGGAUUGCAGGCUGCAACUCGCCUGCAUGAAGCUGGAAUCGCUAGUAAUGGUGGAUCAGAACGCCACCGUGAAUACGUUCCCGGGCCUUGUACACACCGCCCGUCACAUCACGAAAGUGGGUUGUACUAGAAGUCCGCGCGCCGACCCGCAAGGGGGGCAGCGGCCCAAGGUGUGACUCAUGAUUGGGGUGAAGUCGAAACAAGGUAGCCGUAGGAGAACCUGCGGCUG
rnacentral:rRNA from 1 species